UACGUAGGAGGCAAGCGUUGUCCGGAAUCAUUGGGCGUAAAGAGCGUGUAGGCGGCCCGAUAAGUCCGCCGUGAAAGUCCAGGGCUCAACCCUGGGAUGCCGGUGGAAACUGUCGGGCUAGAGUCCGGAAGAGGCGAGUGGAAUUCCUGGUGUAGCGGUGAAAUGCGCAGAUAUCAGGAGGAACACCAAUGGCGAAGGCAGCUCGCUGGGACGGUACUGACGCUGAGACGCGAAAGCGUGGGGAGCAAACAGG
rnacentral:rRNA from 1 species